GACGAACGCUGGCGGCGUGCUUAACACAUGCCAGUCGAACGGAAAGGCCCUGCUUGCAGGGUGCUCGAGUGGCGAACGGGUGAGUAACACGUGGGUGAUCUGCCCCUUACUUUGGGAUAAGCCUGGGAAACUGGGUCUAAUACUGGAUAGGACCAUGCUGUAGGUGGUGUGGUGGAAAGAUUAGUUUCGGUAAGGGAUGAGCUCGCGGCCUAUCAGCUUGUUGGUGGGGUAAUGGCCUACCAAGGCGUCGACGGGUAGCCGGCCUGAGAGGGUGGACGGCCACAUUGGGACUGAGAGACGGCCCAGACGCCUACGGGAGGCAGCAGUGGGGAAUAGUGCACAAUGGGCGCAAGCCUGAUGCAGCGACGCCGCGGGGGGGAUGACGGCCUUCGGGUUGUAAACUCCUUUCAGCCAUGACGAAGCCCUUGUGGUGACGGUAGUGGUAGAAGAAGCACCGGCUAACUACGUG
rnacentral:rRNA from 1 species